GAGCAAAGUACACAGAGCUGCUUGGUAAACGUGAGGUGAGGAGACUGAUAAUCAGGGGGCAUGUCUGUGUUACCCCAGACAACAGCCUGAUGAGAUGGCCAUGCUACUGUUGGACUAUGUUGGUGUCCAUGACCCAUCCUACCACCAGAGACGAUGCUGAGGUCCAUGGCACUUGUUGACACAAGGGUGGAUAUCAGUGCUGUCACCAGAAACCACGUAGAAGCCCAUGAAUCUCGCUCCUGUUGACUAUGAAGGACAAGGAAACGUCUUCUGUACUGGCACUGAUGACUGAGGACUCACAUUUGAGAGAAACAUAGGCUUCUGUGAUAACCUCCCCUCCCCAUACACCCACACACCCACACACACA
rnacentral:lncRNA from 1 species